GAUGAAGAACGCAGCGAAAUGCGAUAAGUAAUGUGAAUUGCAGAAUUCAGUGAAUCAUCGAAUCUUUGAACGCACCUUGCACCCUUUGGCAUUCCGAAGGGUAUGCUCGUUUGAGUGUCAUUGUACUCUCACACUCUCCGAUCCUAUGGAUUCGGGGAGCGGUGGACUUGGGUGUUGCUGCCUUUCCUUGUGGCUCACCUCAAAUGUGUCAGUGCACCUCUUGGUUGGACAUAGUACGGCGUGAUAAGUGUCUUCGCCGGCACCUCGCAAGAGGGUGGCCGAUCGGGAGCUCUGCGCUUUCAAACCGUCUUCGGACAAUUUCUGACAUCUUGACCUCAAAUCGAGUAGGACUACCCGCUGAACUUAAGCAUAUCAAUAAGCGGAGGA
rnacentral:misc_RNA from 1 species